CCAAUAGCGUAUAUUAAAGUUGUUGCAGUUAAGAAGCUCGUAGUUGAAUUUCGGGGUCAGCAGGUUGGUCGUGCCAAUGGUAUGAACUGGCCUUGCUGAUUCCUCCCUCUUGAUGAGCCGUAAUGCCAUUAAUUUGGUGUUGCGGGGAAUCAGGACUGUUACUUUGAAAAAAUUAGAGUGUUUAAAGCAGGCAAGCGCUUGAAUACAUUAGCAUGGAAUAAUGAAAUAGGACGUUUGAUCCUAUUUUGUUGGUUUCUAGGAUUGACGUAAUGAUUAAUAGGGAUAGUUGGGGGCAUUAGUAUUCAAUUGUCAGAGGUGAAAUUCUUGGAUUUAUUGAAGACUGACUACUGCGAAAGCAUUUGCCAAGGAUGUUUUCAUUAAUCAAGAACGAAAGUUAGGGGAUCGAAGACGAUCAGAUACCGUCGUAGUCUUAACCAUAAACUAUGCCGACUAGGGAUCGGAUGAUGUUAAUUUUUUAAUGACUCAUUCGGCGCCUUACG
rnacentral:rRNA from 1 species